rnacentral:rRNA from 1 species
AGCUAACUGAAUCAUUAUGAGUCAUUAAUUUGGUGAUUAUGAUAACAUAAGGGAAAAAAAUGAUAUUACCUUAUUAUUAGUGUUGUCCAAAACUGGUGCCAGAAGACUCGGUAAGACCAGAGACGCAAACGUUAGUCAUCUUAAUCAGGCGUAAAGGGUGUGUAGGCUGCUUUAAAAGUUUAAAUCUUUUUAAUAGCUCUUUUGCCGUUGUCCUGCCAUUAUUUAUUUUAUUUAUAAAAUAAUAAACAAUAAUGAAUAUAAAGGCAGUACAUUUUUUAAUUUUAUUAAUAUUAAUUUAAUUUAAUAAUUAUAAAGGGGACAAAAAAGAUAUCCCGGUUUAAGUAAAAAGAAUAAAAUGAAUUAAAGCUAGAAUCAAAUUGAGGAUAAACCAAAUAAUACUUAGAGUAGGGCCGAUAUCCGCAGAUACUAAGGGGAAUACUAAAGGUGAAAGCUUUUUAUCUACUAUUGAUUGACGCUGAGAAACGAAGGUGAGAACAGGAAAUAGGAUUUGAUACCCAGAUACCUCUCACUGUCAACGAUGAAUGGUGGUUGUUAGUUUUAAUAAAAACUGGUAACGAUGUUAACACGAUAACCAUUCCGCCUUGCGAGUACGGUUGCAAAACUGAAACCAAAAAAAUUAGUCGGUUUCGAAGCAAACG